ensembl:miRNA
AGUCAUCCUGUCCUUUAAAGCUUUGAAGCCAGGCAUUGACUUCUCUCUAACUGUGAAAGCCCUGGAUAGCACCUCCUUCAAUAGAAGGCUGUUUUGUUUACAUUAAAAAUGUGUUGUUU